rfam:Satellite RNA of bamboo mosaic potexvirus strain DLIII-2 P20 protein-like gene, partial sequence.
GAAAACUCACCGCAACGAAACGAAAACAAUCGUUCAGAAAUACUUGACCACGAGGGGUCCCCCAUAGUCCGCUUUGGCGGUGCAGCAGCCCCCGUGCGAUAGGCUAACUGCGGUAUUCCCCGCACUCCGUCGAGCGGUUAAUACGACGCUUACCAAGAC